rnacentral:rRNA from 1 species
CUCCAUGAAGCUGGAUUCGCUAGUAAUCGCGCAUCAGCCACGGCGCGGUGAAUACUUCCCGGGCCUUGUACACACCGCCCGUCAAGCCAUGGAAGCCGGGAGUGCCUGAAGUGCGUGAGCGCAAGCAGCGCCCUAAGGUAAAACCGGUGACUGGGGCUAAGUCGUAACAAGGUAUC